UACGUAGGUGGCGAGCGUUGUCCGGAAUUAUUGGGCGUAAAAGAGCUCGUAGGCGGUUUGUCGCGUCUGCCGUGAAAGUCCGGGGCUCAACUCCGGAUCUGCGGUGGGUACGGGCAGACUAGAGUGAUGUAGGGGAGACUGGAAUUCCUGGUGUAGCGGUGAAAUGCGCAGAUAUCAGGAGGAACACCGAUGGCGAAGGCAGGUCUCUGGGCAUUAACUGACGCUGAGGAGCGAAAGCAUGGGGAGCGAACAGG
rnacentral:rRNA from 1 species